rnacentral:rRNA from 1 species
CAGUCGCCGCGGUAAUACGAGGGGGGCAAGCGUUGUUCGGAAUUAUUGGGCGUAAAGGGUGCGUAGGCGGUUUGGCAAGUUUGGUGUGAAAUCUUCGGGCUCAACUCGAAGUCUGCACCGAAAACUGCCGGGCUUGAGUAUGGGAGAGGUGAGUGGAAUUUCCGGUGUAGCGGUGAAAUGCGUAGAUAUAGGAAGGAACACCAGUGGCGAAGGCGACUACCUGGACUGAUACUGACACUGAGGUGCGAAAGCGUGGGGAGCAAACAGGAUUAGAUACCCCUGUAGUCCCUGUCUCUUAUAC